rnacentral:lncRNA from 1 species
GUUGGGAGCUGACCCUGCACACCCUGCGAUGUCUUAGAGCAGGGCCAUGGUGCACUGUGGAGCAGAGGCCAGUCUUUUACCCAGUCCAGUCUCCCUAAUUAGUGCAUCCUAUCAACCUGAGAUUGGAGUCAGGCUGACAGGAAGGCUCAACAGGCCUGCCCCAGCUGAGGCAUGGCAUGUGGAUUGGGUAGCUGUCAAGAGAGAAAGCUGGCACCUGAUGAGCUGUAGCGCACAGGUGAGCACAUUCACCUUGUGGUGAGUGAGCUCCCGUGUGCCUCGUGAGCAUCCGCACUAGCAGUGCCGGUGAGUGUUCUGGGAGUGUUCCGGUGCAGUGCAGCCUUAAAUCCUGAGUAAAGAAUAUCCUGAGAGAGCACAAGAAAGAUACCAUGUAGUAGUAUUCAGUCUUCAGAGUUGGUGGUCUGAACUUGAAAUUUUUCAGUUAUUCUACAUCAAGUCCUGAACUACUGGUUAGGUAAGAGGCAAUCAGUGUGAAGAAGGAAGGAGCAGGACGUCUGCUGAGGCUAGAAGCAGUGAGGCUGUCACUAGCAGGCUGGGGACCUGAGAAGCACUGUGGAUGGGCGGAAGCAGCUGCACUAGGGACCUCAGAAGUGGACACCUGGAGAAGACACAUGUCCAGGGCACUUGGGAGCCAACAGAAAUUGAUCUUAGCUGGGGAUUAGAUGGAUGCUUAUUCUCUCUCUCUCUCUCUCUCACUCUCUCUCUCUCUCUCUCUCUCUCUCUCUCUCUCUAUCUCUCUCUCUCUCCCCCUCUCUCCCCCUCUCUCUCCCCCUCUCUCUCCCCCUCUCUCUCCCCCUCUCUCUCCCCCUCUCUCUCCCUCCCCCCUCGCCCUCCCUCUCCCCCUCUCCCCCUCUCCCC